rnacentral:rRNA from 1 species
GAUGAACGCUGGCGGCGUGCCUAAUACAUGCAAGUCGAGCGAACGGACGAGAAGCUUGCUUCUCUGAUGUUAGCGGCGGACGGGUGAGUAACACGUGGAUAACCUACCUAUAAGACUGGGAUAACUUCGGGAAACCGGAGCUAAUACCGGAUGAUAUUUUGAACCGCAUGGUUCAAAAGUGAAAGACGGUCUUGCUGUCACUUAUAGAUGGAUCCGCGCUGCAUUAGCUAGUUGGUAAGGUAACGGCUUACCAAGGCAACGAUGCAUAGCCGACCUGAGAGGGUGAUCGGCCACACUGGAACUGAGACACGGUCAAGACUCCUACGGGAGGCAGCAGUAGGGAAUCUUCCGCGAUGGGCGAAAGCCUGACGGAGCAACGCCGCGUGAGUGAUGAAGGUCUUCGGAUCGUAAAACUCUGUUAUUAGGGAAGAACAUAUGUGUAAGUAACUGUGCACAUCUUGACGGUACCUAAUCAGAAAGCCACGGCUAACUACGUG